UUAAGCGACUAAGCGUACACGGUGGAUGCCCUGGCAGUCAGAGGCGAUGAAGGACGUGCUAAUCUGCGAAAAGCGUCGGUAAGGUGAUAUGAACCGUUAUAACCGGCGAUGUCCGAAUGGGGAAACCCAGUGCAAUUCGUUGCACUAUCGUUAACUGAAUACAUAGGUUAACGAGGCGAACCGGGGGAACUGAAACAUCUAAGUACCCCGAGGAAAAGAAAUCAACCGAGAUUCCCCCAGUAGCGGCGAGCGAACGGGGAGCAGCCCAGAGUCUGAAUCAGCUUGUGUGUUAGUGGAACGGUCUGGAAAGUCCGACGGUACAGGGUGAUAGUCCCGUACACCAAAAUGCACAGGCUGUGAACUCGAAGAGUAGGGCGGGACACGUGGUAUCCUGUCUGAAUAUGGGGGGACCAUCCUCCAAGGCUAAAUACUCCUGACUGACCGAUAGUGAACCAGUACCGUGAGGGAAAGGCGAAAAGAACCCCGGCGAGGGGAGUGAAAAAGAACCUGAAACCGUGUACGUACAAGCAGUGGGAGCACCUUCGGGUGUGACUGCGUACCUUUUGUAUAAUGGGUCAGCGACUUAUAUUCUGUAGCAAGGUUAACCGUAUAGGGGAGCCGCAGGGAAACCGAGUCUUAACUGGGCGUUAAGUUGCAGGGUAUAGACCCGAAACCCGGUGAUCUAGCCAUGGGCAGGUUGAAGGUUGGGUAACACUAACUGGAGGACCGAACCGACUAAUGUUGAAAAAUUAGCGGAUGACUUGUGGCUGGGGGUGAAAGGCCAAUCAAACCGGGAGAUAGCUGGUUCUCCCCGAAAGCUAUUUAGGUAGCGCCUCGUGAACUCAUCUUCGGGGGUAGAGCACUGUUUCGGCUAGGGGGUCAUCCCGACUUACCAACCCGAUGCAAACUACGAAUACCGAAGAAUGUUAUCACGGGAGACACACGGCGGGUGCUAACGUCCGUCGUGAAGAGGGAAACAACCCAGACCGCCAGCUAAGGUCCCAAAGUCAUGGUUAAGUGGGAAACGAUGUGGGAAGGCACAGACAGCCAGGAUGUUGGCUUAGAAGCAGCCAUCAUUUAAAGAAAGCGUAAUAGCUCACUGGUCGAGUCGGCCUGCGCGGAAGAUGUAACGGGGCUAAACCAUGCACCGAAGCUGCGGCAGCGACACUAUGUGUUGUUGGGUAGGGGAGCGUUCUGUAAGCCUGCGAAGGUGUGCUGUGAGGCAUGCUGGAGGUAUCAGAAGUGCGAAUGCUGACAUAAGUAACGAUAAAGCGGGUGAAAAGCCCGCUCGCCGGAAGACCAAGGGUUCCUGUCCAACGUUAAUCGGGGCAGGGUGAGUCGACCCCUAAGGCGAGGCCGAAAGGCGUAGUCGAUGGGAAACAGGUUAAUAUUCCUGUACUUGGUGUUACUGCGAAGGGGGGACGGAGAAGGCUAUGUUAGCCGGGCGACGGUUGUCCCGGUUUAAGCAUGUAGGCUGGUUAUCCAGGCAAAUCCGGAUAAUCAAGGCUGAGGUGUGAUGACGAGGCACUACGGUGCUGAAGUAACAAAUGCCCUGCUUCCAGGAAAAGCCUCUAAGCAUCAGGUAACAUUAAAUCGUACCCCAAACCGACACAGGUGGUCAGGUAGAGAAUACCAAGGCGCUUGAGAGAACUCGGGUGAAGGAACUAGGCAAAAUGGUGCCGUAACUUCGGGAGAAGGCACGCUGGUGUGUAGGUGAAGUCCCUGCGGAUGGAGCUGAGACCAGUCGAAGAUACCAGCUGGCUGCAACUGUUUAUUAAAAACACAGCACUGUGCAAACACGAAAGUGGACGUAUACGGUGUGACGCCUGCCCGGUGCCGGAAGGUUAAUUGAUGGGGUUAUCCGUAAGGAGAAGCUCUUGAUCGAAGCCCCGGUAAACGGCGGCCGUAACUAUAACGGUCCUAAGGUAGCGAAAUUCCUUGUCGGGUAAGUUCCGACCUGCACGAAUGGCGUAAUGAUGGCCAGGCUGUCUCCACCCGAGACUCAGUGAAAUUGAACUCGCUGUGAAGAUGCAGUGUACCCGCGGCAAGACGGAAAGACCCCGUGAACCUUUACUAUAGCUUGACACUGAACAUUGAGCCUUGAUGUGUAGGAUAGGUGGGAGGCUUUGAAGCGUGGACGCCAGUCUGCGUGGAGCCAACCUUGAAAUACCACCCUUUAAUGUUUGAUGUUCUAACGUUGGCCCCUUACCGGGGUUGCGGACAGUGUCUGGUGGGUAGUUUGACUGGGGCGGUCUCCUCCCAAAGCGUAACGGAGGAGCACGAAGGUUAGCUAAUCCUGGUCGGACAUCAGGAGGUUAGUGCAAUGGCAUAAGCUAGCUUGACUGCGAGCGUGACGGCGCGAGCAGGUGCGAAAGCAGGUCAUAGUGAUCCGGUGGUUCUGAAUGGAAGGGCCAUCGCUCAACGGAUAAAAGGUACUCCGGGGAUAACAGGCUGAUACCGCCCAAGAGUUCAUAUCGACGGCGGUGUUUGGCACCUCGAUGUCGGCUCAUCACAUCCUGGGGCUGAAGUAGGUCCCAAGGGUAUGGCUGUUCGCCAUUUAAAGUGGUACGCGAGCUGGGUUUAGAACGUCGUGAGACAGUUCGGUCCCUAUCUGCCGUGGGCGCUGGAGAAUUGAGGGGGGCUGCUCCUAGUACGAGAGGACCGGAGUGGACGCAUCACUGGUGUUCGGGUUGUCAUGCCAAUGGCACUGCCCGGUAGCUAAAUGCGGAAGAGAUAAGUGCUGAAAGCAUCUAAGCACGAAACUUGCCCCGAGAUGAGUUCUCCCUGAGACUUUAAGUCUCCUGAAGGAACGUUGAAGACGACGACGUUGAUAGGCCGGGUGUGUAAGCGCAGCGAUGCGUUGAGCUAACCGGUACUAAUGAACCGUGAGGCUUAACCUU
rnacentral:rRNA from 1 species